UUGAGAAACGGAAAGUGGUAAAAAAACAAGAGCCUUUAAUAAUGAAGUUCUUUGCUGUUUUUCUAUUCGCAAUACUGCUAGCAGUGUCUACAACUGCGCAGCAGUGUAGAGAUGUCGGAAGAUGGUGCACAAGGAGUGAACAAUGCUGUACAUCCUAUUGCCGUAACAAUCGUUGUCUCCGUUGGGGAACAAUUCCAUCCGAACGAGGCCGUACUAACCCCUGCUCCAUCGUGAGAUGCGCACGUGGACCGUGCGUAGUUCAGCAGGUUCGAUGCCCCAACAGACCAGAGUGCCCUGGAGUCGCGCGGUGUACUAUCCGUGCGUCGUAAUACACUUCAACUUAACUUUAUGUAGUAACUUCAUGAAGUAACGCUUGAGAAUGAGAAAAUACUUGGAAAUGAAUCGUAGAAUUCUAUGUGAAAUGCAUUAGAGGGUUAUCGUAUGGUGGAAAUAAUUGGAAGAUUAAAUAAUUCAGUAGCGAAGGGGUAAAAGGAAAUACGUCAAUUUUGACUAUUGAGCAGUUUUCAAUCAAUA